rnacentral:rRNA from 1 species
AUUGAACGCUGGCGGAAUGCUUUACACAUGCAAGUCGAGCGGCAGCACGGGGGUAACCCUGGUGGCGAGCGGCGAACGGGUGAGUAAUACAUCGGAACAUGCCCAGUCGUGGGGGAUAACACUUCGAAAGAAGUGCUAAUACCGCAUACGUCCUGAGGGAGAAAGCGGGGGAUCGCAAGACCUCGCGCGAUUGGAGUGGCCGAUGUCAGAUUAGCUAGUUGGUGGGGUAAAGGCCUACCAAGGCAACGAUCUGUAGCUGGUCUGAGAGGAUGAUCAGCCACUCUGGGACUGAGACACGGCCCAGACUCCUACGGGAGGCAGCAGUGGGGAAUUUUGGACAAUGGGGGCAACCCUGAUCCAGCCAUUCCGCGUGAGUGAAGAAGGCCUUCGGGUUGUAAAGCUCUUUCGGCAGGAACGAAACGGUGAGCUCUAACAUAGCUUGCUAAUGACGGUACCUGAAGAAGAAGCACCGGCUAACUACGUG